GCAGAGUAGGGAUAUAUGUGUAGAAGUGCCGGAAAGACGGGGAGUUGCUUUCCGGACGAAGGAGGCCCGGGCCAUCCAAAGGCAUGACAGAGAAAUGGCAAAAGCUAUUUUCGGUUCCGCCCCUCUUUAUCAGAGGAUGAGCCCAGACUUUAGCUCCGCAGUAUUUAUCCCGCAUCCCGCUGC
rnacentral:ncRNA from 1 species